AUACGGAGGGUGCAAGCGUUAUCCGGAAUCACUGGGUUUAAAGGGUGCGUAGGCGGCGUUAUAAGUCAGAAGUGAAAUCUCAUCGCUCAACGGUGAAACUGCUUUUGAUACUGUAAUGCUUGAAUUAGGUUGAGGUUAGCGGAAUGUGGCAUGUAGCGGUGAAAUGCUUAGAUAUGCCAUAGAACACCAAUUGCGAAGGCAGCUGGCUGGACCUAUAUUGACGCUGAGGCACGAAAGCGUGGGGAGCGAACAGGAUUAGAAACCCCAGUAGUCC
rnacentral:rRNA from 1 species